rnacentral:rRNA from 1 species
GACGAACGCUGGCGGCGUGCUUAACACAUGCAAGUCGAACGGAAAGGCCCUGCUUUUGUGGGGUGCUCGAGUGGCGAACGGGUGAGUAGCACGUGAGUAACCUGCCCUUGACUUUGGGAUAACUUCAGGAAACUGGGGCUAAUACCGGAUAGGAGCUCCUGCUGCAUGGUGGGGGUUGGAAAGUUUCGGCGGUUGGGGAUGGACUCGCGGCUUAUCAGCUUGUUGGUGGGGUAGUGGCUUACCAAGGCUUUGACGGGUAGCCGGCCUGAGAGGGUGACCGGCCACAUUGGGACUGAGGUACGGCGCAGACUCCUACGGGAGGCAGCGGUGGGGAAUAUGGCACAAUGGGCGGGAGCCUGAUGCAGCAGCGCCGCGUGCGGGAUGACGGCCUUCGGGUUGUAAACCGCUUUCGCCUGUGACGAAGCGUGAGUGACGGUAAUGGGUAAAGAAGCACCGGCUAACUACGUG